rnacentral:rRNA from 1 species
GAAUCAUAAUAACUAGUCGAAUCGACAGGCCUUGUGCCGGCGAUGGCUCAUUCAAAUUUCUUCCCUAUCAACUUUCGAUGUUUGGGUCUUGUCCAAACAUGGUGGCAACGGGUAACGGAGGGUUAGGGCUCGACCCCGGAGAAGGAGCCUGAGAAACGGCUACUACAUCCAAGGAAGGCAGCAGGCGCGCAAAUUACCCAAUCCCGACACGGGGAGGUAG